rnacentral:rRNA from 1 species
GAUGAACGCUGGCGGCGUGCCUAACACAUGCAAGUCGAGCGAUUCUCUUCGGAGAAGAGCGGCGGACGGGUGAGUAACGCGUGGGUAACCUGCCCUGUACACACGGAUAACAUACCGAAAGGUAUGCUAAUACGAGAUAAUAUGCUUUUAUCGCAUGGUAGAAGUAUCAAAGCUCCGGCGGUACAGGAUGGACCCGCGUCUGAUUAGCUAGUUGGUAAGGUAACGGCUUACCAAGGCGACGAUCAGUAGCCGACCUGAGAGGGUGAUCGGCCACAUUGGAACAGAGACACAGUGCAAACUCCUAGGGGAGGGAGCAGUGGGGAAUAUUGCACAAUGGGGGAAAGCCUGAUGCAGCAACGCCGCGUGAGCGAUGAAGGCCUUCGGGUCGUAAAGCUCUGUCCUCAAGGAAGAUAAUGACGGUAACCGGAGAAGAAGCCCCGGCUAACUUCGUGCCAGCCGCCGCCGUAAUAC